UUUCCCGCCUUUUCGAUAUGACACGAUGCAAAGGAGAAACACUCUGUCACUUCAGUUCGUUGCUCGUGGUUCUUUCGAUGCUAGUGAAGUGAUACAAAAAGUUUUAAUUGUAAUUUUAUCUGUCGACUGCUACUUUUGAUAUUUGCCAAGAUGAUAAAAAAUAUACGCACCGAAUUGUUAAUGGAGUUUGGUUUCGAAGAGAACAUGAUGUUUUUUGAGUUGCAUAGAAAGCUCCUCAGGUUUGAGUAAUAUUAUAUUACCGCAUGACAAUGAAAACUAAAAAUAUUUUAAUCAGA